CACACUUUCAGAGAAAUUGGCACGUGAAGAUCAAUGCAGGAGCCUUUCUUUCCAGGAUACCCUGCAGACCUGUUGGGGUUCUCUGAAAUAGCUGCUUCACUCAUGCUCUUAAGUAGAUUUCAACUGCUUUGAUAAGUGAAGUGGAUUUUGCUCAAUUGAAAAGUUGCUCUCAGUUUCACCCCAGAGGUAAUGGCCAGGAUUUCAGAGAGCUCUCUUAAGUGCUGAGAAAGAGAAGAUGUCAUUUGCCAGAAGAUGUCAGAACACAGCAGAGCAGGAAUAGGGGAACUCAUUCCUUGGCAAACUUUAAAGCAGAGGAAGACCUCCCUAUCUCAACUCAUUAUUGCCCAUAAAAACCUCUUCAUGUUGAAUUUCUCUGGCCAGGACAGAUCCUACAUGCAAUCCCGUCACACUCUGAGGAGAACGAGUAUGAUUCCAAACAAAACCAUCAUCUUUUAAAACUUACUCUGAAAAACGGGCCGAACUUGUACUGGCUUUGAUGCGUCCCGACCUGCUCCUUUAUGUUUAUAGGCAGGAAACAAAGACACUGUGAGUAUGUUUGUGUCACAUUUGUACCGCUCAAAUAGCAGUCAAAUAGCCCAGGUGAGAUCCUGCUCCUUCCAUGGAGCGUUUCCACCACGCCCGGUCCUUUGUAGGGGAUGGAUUUACAGCGCAUGGAGCGUCUGCAACCGAGCUCCCACCCCUCCAUCGCUUCUCCUCUAUCCCGCCCCGGGACCGUGCCAUUUAGCAACACUGUUACGUGCCCGUUUCCUGCCUUACUGAGAGUUUCCGUCAUCGAUCCCCAACGGCUCCAUCUCCGCCUUUUCUCCCACACAGAUCCCCCGAGCCCGGGAGCUUCGCCCACCCCAGCCGGGGGCCGCCCGCUCCCUCCCAGCCGCGCGGGGCGGCUGCGGCGGGGCCGGGCCCUCGGGCACCUCCCUCCCUGCAUCCCUGCAUCCCUGCAUCCCUCCCUCCCUGCGUGCCGCGGGAUGCGCUGCCGGGCGGGCGCACACGGACCGGGCUCCCCGGGGGCAGCGGCGGCAGCCAGAGCCAUGUCUCUCCGCGGCCCGGGAGGAACUGAACCAUCGCCGCACAGGAAGUAG
rnacentral:lncRNA from 1 species